GAUACGCGAGGAACCUUACCUGGGCUUAAAUGUAGAGUGCAUUUUCUAGAGAUAGGAAUUCCCUUCGGGCUUUCUGCAAGGUGCUGCAUGGUUGUCGUCAGCUCGUGCCGUGAGGUGUCGGGUUAAGUCCCAUAACGAGCGCAACCCUUAUCGUUAGUUGCCAUCUGGUAAAGCAGGGGACUCUAGCGAAACUGCCACCGUAAGGUGAGAGGAAGGUGGGAUGACGUCAAAUCAGCACGGCCCUUAUGUCCAGGGCUACACACGUGUUACAAUGGCCGGUACAGAGGGCAGCUACCUGGUGACAGGAUGCUAAUCUACGAAGACCGGUCUCAGUUCGGAUCGAAGUCUGCAACUCGACUUCGUGAAGCUGGAUUCGCUAGUAAUCGCGCAUCAGCCAUGGCGCGGUCGAAUACGUUCCCGGGCCUU
rnacentral:rRNA from 1 species